GGCCUAACACAUGCAAGUCGAACGGUAACAGGAAGCAGCUUGCUGCUUCGCUGACGAGUGGCGGACGGGUGAGUAAUGUCUGGGAAACUGCCCGAUGGAGGGGGAUAACUACUGGAAACGGUAGCUAAUACCGCAUAACGUCUUCGGACCAAAGAGGGGGACCUUCGGGCCUCUUGCCAUCGGAUGUGCCCAGAUGGGAUUAGCUAGUAGGUGGGGUAAUGGCUCACCUAGGCGACGAUCCCUAGCUGGUCUGAGAGGAUGACCAGCCACACUGGAACUGAGACACGGUCCAGACUCCUACGGGAGGCAGCAGUGGGGAAUAUUGCACAAUGGGCGCAAGCCUGAUGCAGCCAUGCCGCGUGUAUGAAGAAGGCCUUCGGGUUGUAAAGUACUUUCAGCGAGGAGGAAGGCAUUAAGGUUAAUAACCUUGGUGAUUGACGUUACUCGCAGAAGAAGCACCGGCUAACUCCGUGCCAGCAGCCGCGGUAAUACGGAGGGUGCAAGCGUUAAUCGGAAUUACUGGGCGUAAAGCGCACGCAGGCGGUCUGUCAAGUCGGAUGUGAAAUCCCCGGGCUCAACCUGGGAACUGCAUUCGAAACUGGCAGGCUAGAGUCUUGUAGAGGGGGGUAGAAUUCCAGGUGUAGCGGUGAAAUGCGUAGAGAUCUGGAGGAAUACCGGUGGCGAAGGCGGCCCCCUGGA
rnacentral:rRNA from 1 species